CCAGACUUCCUGUCCCCAAACGUUGCACUGCCUCACCCCUUCCAGAUCUGCACUUUUGAAAAGACCCACUAAAGCGUUUCCACCUUCAUUUCCUUCGGCAAUUGUGGAGAACCAGGACCUUGGCCAAGCCAGUUCACUCAGCAUCAAUUUCCUUAUCUGUCAAGCAGUUGGACAAGACCAGGGGCCAGCAACCUUUUACUGGAAAGGGCCAGAUUCUUUUCAGAUGGACCACAUCUUCUCAUAUCAUCAUGCAAGCUCACGCUCCUUCCUGAACCCUUUCUGAGCCUUCUGCACUCACACCUGGGAAGAAAGGGGAUUGGACGGUCCAGCAAAAACAGCCACAAAUGAUGCACGCAAUAUGUGUAAGUGCUGUGCCAGAGGUAUAGGUGAUGGAGGACAAAACAAAGGAGGUUCCUGUGCUCUUACUAUUUACAGUCUAGCAAGGACGAAGAUAGUCAAUGAAGAAUUAUCCAGGCACAUACAGCCUUCUGAUGUGCAGGGUGACUCCAGGCACCUCUCUAUGGCUGUGAUUUCUGCACCUGCCUUUUGCCUUUAUCUGGUCUUGCCAAGAGACCGCAUAGACUACUCUAGACUCUCCUGGGAUUCACGAAGACAUCAGCCUACCUGACCAGCAUCCCUGGCCCCUGACAGUGGAUACUGAUAGUUCUCGUUUGCCUGAAGCAUUGGCUGAGCUCAGUGAGCUAAGAAAAGUAUUGAGCCAGAGGAACACAAAGUUCUUGCUCCAGUUGCCCCAGCAGGUCUCUGAGCAAGCCAUUCAAUGACCUGUUGUACCUCACUGUGAAAGAAGAGUCGCAGGACAACCUUUAAACCAGCCUCCCUGGGAGGUGGAGGGGAAUCCUCAUUAAGGUAAUUUAGAAGUAUUUAGCGAAGAUUAAGUUCGGGGUCAGUGCUCAGUGUGGUUCCUAAUAAAACCCUUGGCGCUUUGAGGAAGAGCAAUGCCGAGGGAGAGAGCAGGCACAAGAGAGGACCAGGAAGGGGCAGGGCCUGCCAUGGGAGCUGGCCAUGUGUGCCCAGCCUUUUCUUCCGUUUCAGAGAUUUCAUGGUAGAGUUCCUGCAAUGGGAACAGGCUGAAAAAUCUGAUCAUGCUCUAGUGGUCACCGAGUUCUCAUCUUGGGCUUUAAUGUGGGACUGUAAUUGGUGUCUCUGGCCAGAAGGUAGGUGUUCCUUUUUUUUUAGACAAAGUCUCCAUCUGUUGCCCAGGCUGGAGUAAAAUGGUGUCAUCUUGGCUCACUGCAACCUCCGCCUUGUGGGUUCAAGCAAUUCUCUGCCUCAGCCUCCUGAGUAGCUGGGAUUACAGGCAUGGGCCACCACGCCUGGCUAAUUUUUGUAUUUUUAUUAGAGACGGGGUUUCACCAUCUUGGCCAGGCUCAUCCUGAAGUGACCACUUGAUCCACCCGCCUCAGCCUCCCAAGGUGCUGGGAGUGCCAGCAUGUGCCACCAUACCCAGCCUUGUUUGAUUUUAACUACUUCCUCUGGUGGCCUUCUUUGGCCCCAAGUCUUGAAAACGGACUUUCACUGUGUUGCCCAGACUGGAGUGCAGUGGCUAUUGACAGUGUCUCACUCAUCACCAGGUGCCAGGCUAGAGUGCAGUGGCGUGACCUCGGCUCACUGCAACCUUCGCCUCCCGGAUUCAAGCAAUUCUCCUGCCUCAGCCUCCCGAGUACCUGGACCACUGACUCUUAAUCUCUACUGCAAAUUCCAGGGAUAGAUAAUCUAAUGGCCUCAUUUGCAACUAGUAUAUAUAUAUACACACAUUCUCAAGGACAUGACUCCUGAAACUCUCCCCUCCCUCUCUUGCAUCUCAAUUUCCUAAAUCAUUCAUGUCAUUUUGUUUGUCAGCAAACAUGUUCUAGUAUCUUCCAACUUAAAGCAAGUAACGAACUACCCUUGGCCCCAUGCCUCUUUCCAUUUAACACCCAAUCUCUCUGCUCCUUUUUGUUGGCCUCAAACAUUUCAAGAGAAUUGUCUGUAUUGCUGUCUUCAUUUCCUCAUCCUUCCUUCUCUUCUCAGCCUUUCUAGUUGGAUUUGCAUUCUCCCAGUUCCACUAAAAUUUCUCUGGUUAAGAUCACAAUGACCUCCAUCUGCCACAUCUAUAUCCUCCUCUAACCCAGCCUUUCAGAAAUAUCCCAUAUGGUUGGCUAUUCCUUUCUUGAAGCAUUCUUUUCUCUUGGACUUGAGGAUACCCUGUAUACCAGAUGCUCUGGUGUGCUACCCAGAUCCCUGCUGCAGGACUAAGGAACUCAUUGCUCUGGCUGCCAGUAAUGUUGGUAGCUGACAGCUCAGGGCUAAGUCUAUCUCCAGAAAUUGCCCUCAGAUGGAGGAAGGUGACUUGACUAAACUUAUGCCCCCAUUGCAAGGAUAGCCUGCAUCCAAGGACUGGUUGGUACCGAGGUACGAGGUCCAGCUUCCCCAUCUCAGUUUGGGACCAUUGUAAAGGAUCAUGCCAGUUCCAGAGCUGCCUGUUGGGCAGGCUGAGGCUCCACUAUAAAGGGAUCACAUUUCAAGCCUCUCUCUCUGCCCAUCCUGCUCCCCUUACUUCCUUAUAGAUGCUGCUUCUGUGGCCUUCCCAAAUCUCUCUCUCAAACUUUGUUUCCAGGAACCUGCCCUAAGAUGCUGAAGUCUCCUGGGUUUCCUGCAGCCUCGUUUUUUGUUACCUGAAUGUCUCACAAGUUUAUUUAACUGAUUUUUUUUUUCUCUCUCAACAACCUUAAAAUACCUCUUACAUUUUUUUAAAUUUGACUUUAUAUUUUGGCCAACUUCGGUUCACAGAAAAAUUGAGCAGAAGGUACAGAGAUACCCCGUCUGCCCCCACCCCCACACAGGCUCAGCAUCUCCCAUUGUCAGCAUUCCCCACCAAGUGGUACAGUUGUUGCAAUCAAUGAACCUGCAUUAGCACGUCAUUAUCACCCAGAGUCCCUAGUUUACAUUAGGGCUUACUGUUGGUGUGCAAUCUAUGGGUUUGGGCAAAUGUACCAUGGCAUGUAUCCAUUAUGAAGUUACGAUAAAAAGUAUUUUUAUUGUGCUAAAAAUCAUCUGCCCUCUGCCUAUUCAUCCCUCCCUCCCCUAACCUUUAGCAACCACUGAUCUUUUUAUUCUCCCCAGUUUGGCCUUUUCCAGACUGUCAUACAAUUGAAAUUGUACAGCAUACAGCCUUCUCACAUUGUCGUCUUUCCCUUAGUAAUACACAUUGAAGUUUUCUUCAUGUCUUCUCAUGAAAAUACAUUUUUCUUUCUCCCCUUCACUCCUGCUGUUCUCCACCUUCUUUUCUGUGUAUUUACAGGUGUUAUACAGGUGCUAAACAGAGAACCGAUGAGAUAGUGGUCCCACUCCCUAAUGGUUUUUUUUAAAGAAACAACCACACUUUCAAAUGGCUGUGUUCAAGUUUUCUAAAAUCUAAGGGAGCAGGAAAUUGCAGAAUGGAUUUUAUCCACUGGGUCAUGUGAAAUCAAUGCAGCAGCAACUAACUCAUUUAUUCUUCCAUAAUUAAGUCAAUAGAAUUUGCCCAUGGGUGCAAAUCUGAAGACUUGAUAUACCAAUCAAACCAUAAUUGUAAAAUCAUUUACGUAUUGUGCUAUUAUUUUGCUGUAGGUACAUUUCAUUCUUUCUCUUGACUCAACUCUAAAAUAAAGAAGUAAAAGACUAGA